ensembl:lncRNA
GUGAGAGGCGCGUAUUGUUUUAUCGCCCAUAGGACUUUCCCCUCUUCCGGUACCCCCCUCCUCUCUCUGUUCUGUCUCCCCCUCCUCUCGCGCUCUCUCCUCCUCUGCAUGUCCAGCGGGGCUAGCGUGCUAAAGACGGCCGCGUCGGGCCAGCGGUAACCGGACUACCGAGGGGGAUGAUGUCCACCGUGGUGCCCCGGCCACCCCAGAAGGAGGACGAGGAGGAAGAGGAGGACGAAGAGCAAGGAGAGCCGUUUGAGUUUGACGACAGCGCCGACGAGAGUGUUCCUGAAGACGCCGUCGUAAAGCCCCCCCCCUCAACAGCUGAGGCCGCCGACUUGACGACCGAAAAGGUCAAGUGUGAAACGCAGUCAGAGGCCCCAACCGAGGGCAGCGCUGAUCCUCACUCCCAGCAGCCCUGUGUCCACGGCUCCGAUGUCUCCCCCUGCUGGCCAGGAGGGGAACUCCUCCUCGGACGCCCCCCCAACCACCAGCACAGCAGAUCAGCAUCUGGGAGACUCCAGUCGGGCCUCCAUCAACCCCACCACCUCCUCCUCCACCUCCUCCUCCUCCGCAGCAGCAGCGGACCAACCGAGUGCCGCGACUCCUC